AUUGAACGCUGGCGGCAUGCCUUACACAUGCAAGUCGAACGGCAGCAUGAUCUAGCUUGCUAGAUUGAUGGCGAGUGGCGAACGGGUGAGUAAUACAUCGGAACGUGCCCUGUAGUGGGGGAUAACUAGUCGAAAGAUUAGCUAAUACCGCAUACGACCUGAGGGUGAAAGUGGGGGACCGCAAGGCCUCAUGCUAUAGGAGCGGCCGAUGUCUGAUUAGCUAGUUGGUGAGGUAAAGGCUCACCAAGGCGACGAUCAGUAGCUGGUCUGAGAGGACGAUCAGCCACACUGGGACUGAGACACGACCCAGACUCCUACGGGAGGCAGCAGUGGGGAAUUUUGGACAAUGGGCGAAAGCCUGAUCCAGCAAUGCCGCGUGUGUGAAGAAGGCCUUCGGGUUGUAAAGCACUUUUGUCCGGAAAGAAAUGGCUCUGGUUAAUACCUGGGGUCGAUGACGGUACCGGAAGAAUAAGGACCGGCUAACUACGUG
rnacentral:rRNA from 1 species